rnacentral:rRNA from 1 species
UACGUAGGGGGCAAGCGUUGUCCGGAAUUAUUGGGCGUAAAGAGCGUGUAGGCGGCCAGAUAAGUCCGCUGUGAAAUCUCGAGGCUCAACUUCGAGCUGUCGGUGGGAACUAUCUGGCUAGAGUCCGGAAGAGGAGAGUGGAAUUCCUGGUGUAGCGGUGAAAUGCGCAGAUAUCAGGAGGAACACCGGUGGCGAAGGCGGGUCUCUGGGCAACAACUGACGCUGAGGAGCGAAAGCGUGGGGAGCGAACAGG